rfam:Perkinsus marinus ATCC 50983 gcontig_1104296653962, whole genome shotgun sequence.
GGUCGUUUAGCUCAGUCGGUUAGAGCAUCGUGCUAAUAACGCGAGGGUCGCAGGUUCGAGCCCUGCAUCGACCA